GAACUAAGCUUCCCACAUAAUAGAAAAAGAGGAGUAUAUAAGAUCUACAGAACAAAUUGCUUCAAUGUCUUUUGUAACAAAGGUAAAAGGUUGAAAAGAUGAGGGAGCAAUGGGAGCUGUGGCUUCCUCCCUCUGCCAUCAACACUCUGCCAGUAUGGACAGUUGCCAGUGAGGACAGGGUUGCAGGCCUAGGCCAGCAAAGCUGUAAGGGAACAGAAUAUUCACAUCAUGUGCCUCUUGGUAGGAUGCACUGGGAGCUACACAACAUGACUUCCUGCCAAAGCCACAAGGAGACAUCAGACAACCCCAUACUGAGGGGUAGUCUACAAAACAAACGGCCUGUACUAUUCAAAAAGAUCCAUAUCAUGAAAUCCAAAGGAAAACCGUUCCAAGUUAAAGUGACUAAAAGAACAUGACAACUAAAUGCCACACGUGAUACAGAGAAUAUUAUUGAGACAAAAGAUAGAAUCUGAAGAAGGUCUGUAAAUGAGAUAGUAGCAUUGAUUUAAUAUUAAAUUCCUUACUUUAAUCAGUGUGUUGUGGUUAUGUAACAGACUGUGCUUGUGUUUUACACUUUGAUAUAUUUAUAUAUAUCAGGAUUCAUGUCAGCAACUUUCUCCCAAACAGUUCCAAAAAAACAAUAUAGAGAAAGAAAGGGAGAAGAAUAAAGCAAAUAUUGUAGAGUAAAAAUGUUCUUUGUUAGAUUCUAGCAACUUUUCUGUAAUCUGAAAUUAUGUCAACAUUUUUAAAAUGGAAAUGCAGAACUUUAGGGUAAAUAUGAUGUCAGCAUAGUUCAAGGGAAAAGGGGGGAAAAGUUCACUCUCAGAGAGUCUCCUUGAGGGCAUGUGCCAAUCUCUAGACUUGCUUCCCUGUCCUUCUGUUCAUUCAUCUUUUCCCCUCCAAAUGCUCCCACAGCUUCUCACUGACAACUCCUUUUCCACUCAAGGAAACCUUUACCAUCUCGAGACCAGUGCAAUAUACUGAACUCAAUGAUCUAGUGCUCAAAGACUGGGUAAUUCCAUCUAAAAUGAAAUAAACAGAGGGAGGGAACUAGAGUGGAUGAGGGUGGCAUAUUCAGAACCUGCCUGAGAUGAAGUCCUUCCAUUAGUGUGACAUGCUUCCUCAUUCUUCCUGCUCAAUUAGAAAAUAAUUAUUGGAUCAAACUGGCGUGUCUCUCUCUUUUCUUGACACACAUAUACAAAAGAACAAGAAGUGAAUUUUCAGAAACUAUACCAAGUAAGUUCAUACUGAAGAGAAGACUGUUCUGCAUAAAUUGAAUGAUCUUCACACAUUCCCUUUUCCAGCAAGGAGACAGCACUUUUCUUUAUUAAUAUCCAUUCCCACCGCUACUGUCAUAUUCAUCCUCUAGUUUCCAAACACAGUGAGAGGCUUUCUGGUGGGUAAGACAAAUAUAUCUCUUCAAGUAACAGAGCUGUCUGUCCUUGCUUAGCAAAUUCUGGCUACCAAAAGACCCAGGGAAGCUCUGAAAUUACAAAUUUUCUACACCUUAAUUUAGAUAAGUAUUUUAGGUUGGGUGUUCCCACAGGAAUGCAGCAGGAGAGAACAUCAUCCUCUAUGCAUAAUAAUUGCCAGGGAUGUUGGGGGUGGGCAGAUAUGGAGUGAGGAUUUGGGGCUACCAAGCUCUACCUUUCCUCUGGGGUCUUUGUUCAGUGUGACCUCCUCUUCCUGGAAUCCAUCCCCAGCCUUAGUGUCUACUGUCUAUUCUCCCUUCCUAAUACCUUUCCAUUUUGCACUGUGUUUCCACCCAGUUGCUGUCACUCUCAUUCAAGCUGUCUUGGCUCUAAGCUUAGCCCUUAACCUAAAAUGUACCAGUUAGAGGAAGCACCAGGAGGAAAACAAAAUCCAACUCAAUGUCAUUAAAAGAACUAUACCUGCCAGCCCUAAUAAGAAAAAAAAUAGGCAAAGAAUUUAGAGUGGAGUGACAUAGUAACAGAUUAGUUGAAAUCAACCAAAUGGACCAACUGUGGAUUUCUGUAGUAGAAAAAGUAUUAAGUAAUAGAUGACUUGAAUCUAGAAGACUCAGGCUCAUUGACAGCCAAAGAUAUCAGAACAUUUUCAAAGAUAUCUGUAAUGCUAGAGCUCAAAGAUCUCAGAUGACCUCUCUGGUUAAUGUUCAACCUCAGCCAGCUAAAAGCAUAACCUCCAAUAGUGCUUAGCAUGCUAAUCCUGAAAUUGUUUGGAAAGCAUAAUUGUUUCCUAGAGAAUUAAUAGCUGUAAACCUGUAGAAAUAUAUAUAUACACACACACAUACGAUUAAGUAAAUCAAACUUAAUAGUACUCAUAUUUUCUAGUAAGGUUUAGAAAUAAUCACUAUAUUUAGGAGAAUUUGACCUGUUAGUAAAAUCAUUUGUGCAAUUCCAAAUUAAAUUGAUGAGAAUAAUUGACAAAGAUUCUAUGUCAAAAUUAAUCGGUAUUGGAGACUUUUAAAAAGCCUAAGACAUACCUUUUAUAAUUUAAAUUUAUCCUAUAUGAUAAGUACUGAGAAGGCUUUUUCGAUGACUAAAGAACUUAAAUAUAAAAAGGAAAUGUAUCAACUUCGUC
ensembl:lncRNA